AAAAAAGCAAUAUCCAAAAGAGAAAAGUAAAAGAAAAAAAAGCAACAUCCGCUCGCCUACUUGGAGUUGUUGCUGUUGAUGCACAUACAAUUGAGUGCUUGGAAGACAAUUUUUGGUGCUCGCAAGAUGAAGACACAACCGCUACUGCAUGCAAGGCAUGUGAAGACAAAGCCUCUACAAUGGAUUGUGUGGGUCAAAUCCUGAGUCGACAAGAUAAAGAUGGAUGCUAUACAAAAGAGAAAAAGAAA